CGCAGCCGCGGUAAUUCCAGCUCCAAUAGCGUAUAUUAAAGUUGUUGCAGUUAAAAAGCUCGUAGUUGAAUUUCGGGGUUAGUAGGUUGGUCAUGCCUCUGGUAUGUACUGGUCUCACUGAUUCCUCCUUCCUGAUGAACCUUAAUGCCAUUAAUUUGGUGUUUUGGGGAAUUUGGACUGUUACUUUGAAAAAAUUAGAGUGUUUAAAAGCAAAGCUAACGCUUGAAUACAUUAGCAUGGAAUAAUGAAAUAGGACGUUCGAUCCUAUUUUGUUGGUUUCUAGGAUUGACGUAAUGAUUAAUAGGGAUAGUUGGGGGCAUUAGUAUUCAAUUGUCAGAGGUGAAAUUCUUGGAUUUAUUGAAGACUAACUACUGCGAAAGCAUUUGCCAAGGAUGUUUUCAUUAAUCAAGAACGAAAGUUAAGGGGAUCGAAGACGAUCAGAUACCGUCGUAGUCUUAACCAUAAACUAUGCCGACUAGGGAUCGGAUGAUGUUAAUUUUUAAUGACUCAUUCGGCGCCU
rnacentral:rRNA from 1 species